UACGGAGGGUGCAAGCGUUGUCCGGAAUCACUGGGCGUAAAGGGCGCGUAGGCGGCCAUCUAAGUCAGACGUGAAAUCCCCAGGCUUAACCUGGGAACUGCAUUCGAGACUGCAUUGCUAGAGUAUGGGAGAGGGAAGUGGAAUUUCAGGUGUAGCGGUGAAAUGCGUAGAUAUCUGAAGGAACAUCAGUGGCGAAAGCGACUUCCUGGACCAAUACUGACGCUCAUGUGCGAAAGCGUGGGGAGCAAACAGGG
rnacentral:rRNA from 1 species